GAAGAUUUUUCCAAAGGAAUAAUUUACUAACAUGCCUUUAUUAAUGAUUAGCAGCACAUCUCCAGGCUUCUCCUGCCAGCCCUCCCCAGCUCUUCCCCAUGGAAAAGGAACCGGAAACAGAGAUCCAUCCAUCAAGCGGAUAAAGUCUCCAGAAAGAGAAGUUCUAGCUUGAACCCUGAUGCAGCUGCCUCAACAGAUCAUUGGAUCUCUGGACAGUAAAAGAGCCGAUGGGUGAAACGCAGACAGCUCCAAAACCUCCAGCAAACACACAGAGCCUUGGCUGACCUCUGACCAUAGAUGCGUUAUGAACCUGCCUGCUAUCAGCCGUCUAAAGGAUAAACCAAAUGAUCAUUACAGACUGCUCCGUGGUUCAAGGACUGGAUGUUUCCUACAUCAUUAACUCUAUAUAAAUGAGGAUAUAAAGACUUUACAACACCAAAGAAGAGCCGCUGAGAGACUCAAUGCUGCUAAAGUUAGGUAUCCAUCCAUAAUCUACCAAUGAAGCUGGACAAACCCUGAAUAUAAAGGAAGUUCUCCACCCAGAGGCAGAACAUAUGGAAAUCUAAUAUUCUAAUAAAUGCAUGUGGGAGCUCAAAGGAUCCUCAGUAGUUAGUCUCUCUGUUGUGGUCAUUUCAUAAUAAAGUAUGAAUGAGUCAGAUAAUAUGAAAUUUUUGCUCUUUUUUCUUGAUUUUAUAUAAAAUAAAUACAAAUCUACAGUCUAAACAGGUAAAAAAAAAUAAACUGCUUUUAAAUUAUUUUUAUUUUAGCUCAUUGUCAUGCUGGUAUAACUAGGUAUUUAUUGAUCAUAAUAGAUCAGCGUGUCGGAAUGACAGAACAAUGACCAUUUAACAGCGCAGUACGCUGCAACGUUAACAGCUGGAAAAAAAACAUAAUGCAAAACAAGUUCAGAAUCUAAAGAUCAUCGUUGAUCUUAGAAUGGGAGGCAGAUCUUUUAGUUAUCAGGCUCCUCUCCUGUGGAACCAAC